rnacentral:lncRNA from 1 species
UCACAACACACAACUACCUACCUUUUUUUACUAUUCACCCCGAUAUUGUUUACAAAUUAUUACAAACCAAAUGAUUGAAUCACAAAAGAAGUGCAGAAAUAAGAAAUUACAACCAAAGGAAGCCUGAUCUUGACUUCCUCUCUAAGUUAUGUAAUGAACCACUUCAAUGCCAAUAUUUCAAAGUCUUUCUCAUACCUGGGUAUGUCAAAGUUCCCUAAAGACCUCAAGGGAUCCUGGGCAGUGCUCACACCCAGAUUUGCAUAACCAGACAGAAUGAGUGCAGUGUGGAAGGGCCAGCCCUUAUAUGUCCAAGUUCAGAGGGAGCUCAAGGGUCCCAAGGCAAGGCUCACACAAGAGGGGCAGAACCUAGAUUCUAAGAAUAUAGUGGAAGUGCAGAACACAUGUUAAAAAGCUGGACUGAUAGACCAUUUUUUUGAAAGCAAUUAGUAACAGAGGUGAUUGAAAUCAGUUGCAGUAAAACUCAAAACUACACAGAAUCAGUAGUCAUUCGAAGGGGGUCAAGGGAUUUGGGGAUACAUCUGUCUAUAAGAACAUGAACCCAGUAGGGGUCUGGUUUGGUCAUGCCCAGCAAUAGCUGAUGCUGGCAUGGCCAUAAACCAGCCAAAGGAACACAAACACAUAGAGGGGAUAUGGGGGUUUGAGCUUCAUAAGACAGCAAGUACACAGCAAGUGACUGACAGAGUAUGCUUUAGAACACACAUAGGGGAAGCAUUAAUCUAAGGGGAAAGGGAACAUAUUACAGCAUGCUAGUUAUAUAACGUGACUGUAGAACCACAAACAGAAGUAGACAAGAAUGAGGGAAACUGAAACGACUAAAGAAGCAUGUUGUUGUUGAGGCUUGAAAAAUUAACUAGGACAUACCAGUAGAGAAGCAAAGUGCAGAAAGGAAAAGUAAUAAGGAUUCCACAGUCUAGCCUUGGCUUUCAGCCGACUAGACACAACAAUAGAACAAGUAGUAGUAGAGAAAGAGAGAGUUUUGAGUGUAAGUGUGUGUUUUUGAACUCAAAUUGUUCGUGUGUUUGAAAGAAGAGAGGGUAGGGUAUUUAUAGUUUUGAAAACAAGUGAAGAAUAAGGUAACCAGUAAAGUUUCAACUCAAACAUGGAAAUAACCACAGUCAGAAUCAAUCAACACAAGUACUCCCCUUUAAUCAAGGGAUUACUGCUCAAACGAAUACUAACAGGGUUAAUUAAGGAAAGAAAUCAGUUUGAGAUAGAUUGAUUAUUUCCAUAGAAGUAAAUAAUUGAGUCUAAGUACAAAAUAUGCUUAGUUUUGGGAAAGAAUUCAGCAAGGUAAAACAUCACAGUAAUUAAAGAAGGGGAAUCAAUUAAUUUUAAACAAAUGAGUAAAAAUUAGGGUUUAUAAGGGAACUCUUUGCAAUUAAUCGUAAUAUUGAGGAAAUCAAGAUCAAUCAAGAAAGAAACAUGAUUCUGCACCUUGACAUAUAAAUAGAACGAACAAAAAUAUCAGACAUGCAAGGCCAAACGCAUUGGCAAAAGAAAUAAUUGGAUACAUACAAACAUGCAGCAAUAACAAGAGUAAGGUAAGGCUCAGUAGUCAACAAAGUCAAAUAGUCAGGGCUCACACGUAGAGCCAAAAUGAAAAAACCAGUCUAACAGGUAAAGAGAGUCAGAAACAAGUAAAGGUCUCACAGUAACAAGUAAGGAAGACCUUUUAAGAAAUUAAGAUUUUAACAAUAGUCGAUUUUAAGAGAUGAUAAGAACUCAGAAUCAGAUAAUCAAACAAAGAAAAGAGAGUCAGAAACAAAGAACUUAAUCGAACAAGUAUACAUUCAAACAAACAGUUUCAGAACUCGGAUAAGACCAAAAAAGACCUAAGGUUUUCAACAUGAUGAAUCAAAUAGAAGGAAAGCAUAACCAAGUCAUUUGAACAUAGUAAAAAUCAUGAAACAACACCAAAAAAAUCAAAAAAGAGAUAAAAGAGGUUAAGAGAAAACCCUAAUCGUUGAAAAAUGAAGAGUCAUUUUUGAAAGAAAAUCGAAGAACCUUCGAAAAAAUACUUAAAAAAUUCAUGAUAAGCACAGAUCUAAGAGAUCUGAAAUAAAAUCGAAAGACCUUAAAGCUAGGGUUUCAGAGAGCCCAGAAAAAGUGAGAAAGACUUUGAAAGUUACCGAUCUAGCCAGAAAAGUCAAGGAUCUGACUUGAACAGCCAUGGAUGGCCGGAGAAAAACCAGAGAUAGAGGUUGUGCAAGGACUGGACCAGAUCUCUUCAAGAUCUUUCCAUGAAGUCACACAAACGAGCCACCAGAAGAUGUAAGAGGCCGGUAUACAUCUCGAAUGGCCAUGGGAGUUCAUGGAUUAGGCAGGGAUUGAAAGGAAUUAGGGUGGAAUUGGGUCGCGGCGGCUAGGGUUUAUGUGAGGCUGCAGAGAGAAUUGAGAGGAGAGGUAUUCAAAGGCAGCGGGUGGUAAGAAAUGAGUUAGGGUAAUGGGUCGUUUAGGUUUAUUUU